GAAAUAAAUUUAAAAUGAACUUCUAACUCAUUAUUUAUGAUUUUUAUCAUAUUAUUUCU
rnacentral:tRNA from 1 species